UACGAAGGGGGCUAGCGUUGUUCGGAAUCACUGGGCGUAAAGCGCACGUAGGCGGAUCUUUAAGUCAGGGGUGAAAUCCCGGGGCUCAACCUCGGAACUGCCUUUGAUACUGGGGAUCUCGAGUCCGGGAGAGGUGAGUGGAGCUGCGAGUGUAGAGGUGAAAUUCGUAGAUAUUCGCAAGAACACCAGUGGCGAAGGCGGCUCACUGGCCCGAUACUGACGCUGAGGCACGAAAGCGUGGGGAGCAAACAGG
rnacentral:rRNA from 1 species